AUUGAACGCUGGCGGCAGGCCUAACACAUGCAAGUCGAACGAGUGGCGGACGGGUGAGUAAUGUCUGGGAAACUGCCCGAUGGAGGGGGAUAACUACUGGAAACGGUAGCUAAUACCGCAUACCAUCGGAUGUGCCCAGAUGGGAUUAGCUAGGAGGUGGGGUAACGGCUCACCUAGGCGUCGAUCCCUAGCUGGUCUGAAAGGAUGACCAGCCACACGUGAACUGAGACACGGUCCAGACUCCUACGGGAGGCAGCAGUGGGGAAUAUUGCACAAUGGGCGCAAGCCUGAUGCAGCCAUGCCGCGUGUAUGAAGAAGGCCUUCGGGUUGUAAAGUACUUUCAGCGGGGAGGCGUUACCCGCAGAAGAAGCACCGGCUAACUCCGUGCCAGCAGCCGCGGUAAUAC
rnacentral:rRNA from 1 species